UACGGAGGGUGCAAGCGUUAUCCGGAUUUACUGGGUUUAAGGGGUGCGCAGGCGGAUAUGUAAGUCAGUGGUGAAAUCUCUAGGCUUAACCUGGAAAUUGCCGUUGAUACUAUAUAUCUUGAAUGUUGUGGAGGUAAGCAGAAUAUGUCAUGUAGCGGUGAAAUGCUUAGAUAUGACAUAGAAUACCUAUUGCGAAGGCAGCUUACUACGCAGAUAUUGACGCUCAUGCACGAAAGCGUGGGGAUCAAACAGG
rnacentral:rRNA from 1 species